rnacentral:rRNA from 1 species
UAGGGAAUAUUGGUCAAUGGGUGGAAGCCUGAACCAGCCAUGCCGCGUGCAGGAAGACGGCCUUCUGGGUUGUAAACUGCUUUUAUCUGGGGAUAAAAAGGCCUUGCGAGGCAAACUGAAGGUACCAGAUGAAUAAGCCACGGCUAACUACGUGCCAGCAGCCGCGGUAAUACGUAGGUGGCAAGCGUUGUCCGGAUUCAUUGGGUUUAAAGGGUGCGUAGGCGGCCAUUUAAGUCAGUGCUGAAAUAUCACAGCUUAACUGUGAGGGUGGCAUUGAUACUGGGUGGCUUGAGUGCUAGCGAGGCAGGCGGAAUUGACGGUGUAGCGGUGAAAUGCUUAGAUAUCGUCAAGAACACCGAUAGUGUAGACAGCUUGCCAGGGAGCAACUGACGCUGAGGCACGAAAGUGUGGGGAUCAAACAGGAUUAGAUACCCUGGUAGUCCACACUAGUAAACGAUGAUCACUCGCUGUUGGACG